AAAUCCACAUUCUGGAGAAAUAAACAUAAAAAGUGAAUUUGAAGUAAUUUACCUUGAAUGUGAAACAUGGCCAGUGAAGUUUCAGGGAAAAUAUUAAAAUACCAAUUAGGAAUCAUCACGGCUAUCCUGCUUACCCAUGUGUAUAUUGUGAAAAGUAUCGAUCUUUCAGGAAUAAGCAUAGAUUUACAGUUUAGCUCCACAGAUGGGUCAACGCAUCAUAUAACACAAAUUGCAGAUGUUAACGGAUGUCUCAUCUCAUUGUCUGUGUGUGGGCCGACGAUCUGUUACAGUUACACUGGAAACUAUUCGUGCUCUUGUUGGGAAGGAUAUAACGCCACAAAUAUAAAUGAGACUAUAAAUAACAGUAACCUGUGCAUAGAUUCUAUAAAUGAAUGUCAGAUCAGUCUGUGUAGUCCAAAUGCCAGCUGCACAAAUCAGUUGGUAAAUUACAAAUGCUCAUGUCUGGAUAGAUUCACUGGAACAAACUCAAAUCUCAGCAUAAGCAUCGAGCCAU